UUAAAAGGAAAAAAAAAAAAAAAGGUUGACAUUUACAGCCAAGAGCUAGGUACACAACUGCAAAGGUCAUCAAUGAGUAAACAGAUAUUAAUGGUUAGCCGGAUAACUGGUACAUAAACAGGUCACAUUAAUAAUUAACACCAGGCAAAACUAGCACUUUCAGCCAAGCUCGGGGAAGUGGAUGCCAGAUGAAACCCACAAGAGGAUGAGAAAAAUCCAGUGUUGAUUUCUGGUUGUCAAAAGGAGGGAAAAUUACUGCUUCAUUUUUCCAUUUCUCCUAUCCUCACCAAAAAAUGUUUCGAGGCAGUCGUGAUGGAAAAGCCUGACUAAGUCCUCUCCAGGGCAUCAGGGAGCUUCUCCUGGGUAUUAUCUCAAGCACCUCCACCCAGCUCUGCACUACAACCAUGGACGCACAUGCCUAUCUCCCCACAGGACAUCAAAUUCCUUACUAAAGAGAGAGGAUACUGUUUUCAUCUUCAGAUCCCCUGCCACCUAGCCCUGUGCUUGGAAAGCAGCACAUUAAUGUAGACUGAAUACGUAAAUGAAUGAAAUGAAUGGACCUCUCAGCAAUCAUGCUUAGAAAAGCAACUCUGAUGAGUGAAAUAUUAAUGAAUCUGUUACAGCUUUUCUUUUUUUUUGGCUUGGUCUAAGUCUUUGCACAUGUUCACUGUAGCCACAUUUGUGAUUGCAAGUUUUAGUUUGAAUAAAUCUUGUCAAUAACAGUAGCAAAAUACCUAAUGAUUCAGGUCUUCAGCUUUUUCUUCUACAAAAAGGAGAGAUGAUAAUUCCUGCCUUGCCAGGCUAAGGGGCUGGUUGAAAAGACUGUCUGAAAUGAUAUAUGUCAUUAUAUAUGAGAAUGCUGAAGCCCUAAUGCAAUCAGAGUUCCUUUCUCUGCCCAUCUCUACCCAUCUGACACUGUGAAAAUUCUCUGCCUACUAUCUAUGAACCAAUUUGUAUAUGAACAAGGACCCUCCCUCUAGUCUCAGGAUUCUCAGACCUUGCUCAGCAUCCAGCAUAUUGCAAGUGCUCAGGAAGCGUUCAUGAUAUAAUGAUGCACAUAACCAAUAGCAUAAUAAUUUCAUUCAUUCAAACCAUAUUAGGAACCAUUAACUAGGACAGGAUAUGUGGGGGGAGGAAUGGAAACUAUCAAGUUUCCCAUUCACCAAGCAUUCUAUAUACCUGAUUUUAUUCAUUAUUUCUUUUAACCCUAUGAAGUAGCUAACAUUGUCCUUGUUUUCGUGGAAGGAAUCCAAGUCUUGAAGAGUUGGUUGUCAUGCCAAAGACACCCAGUUAAUAACUGCAGAGACAGGACUCGAAAUCAUACAGCACACUGCCUUCCUGUGAUGAGACCCUUCCACUCAAGAGAACAGUCUGGGGCACCUCUGACAUCAGAGUCGAUGUCUUCUAGAUGUGAAUAACUUCCAGGGCCCACCUAGUCCGACCACCAAUGAGGAAUCUGAGGUUCAAAGGGAAGUAUGUGGACGAGGUCAGCCACUCCAUAUUAGUGGGGGGG